GGCUAGGCCCAGUGCAGUGAUGUUUACAACUAGUUGAUCACAACCAGUUGCAGAUUCCCUUGUUCCUUGUCAACUCUCAUUGCUUCUCUUGAUUAGCCUUAA
ensembl:misc_RNA Y_RNA Y RNA